AGCGUACACGGUGGAUGCCCUGGCAGUCAGAGGCGAUGAAGGACGUGCUAAUCUGCGAAAAGCGCCGGUAAGGUGAUAUGAACCGUUAUAACCGGCGAUGUCCGAAUGGGGAAACCCGGUGCACUUCGGUGCAUCAUCGUUAGCUGAAUACAUAGGCUAACGAGGCGAACCGGGGGAACUGAAACAUCUAAGUACCCCGAGGAAAAGAAAUCAACCGAGAUUCCCCCAGUAGCGGCGAGCGAACGGGGAACAGCCCAGAGCCUGAAUCAGCUUGUGUGUCAGUGGAACGGUCUGGAAAGGCCGGCGAUACAGGGUGACAGCCCCGUACACGAAGGCACACAGGCUGUGAGCUCGAUGAGUAGGGCGGGACACGUGAUAUCCUGUCUGAAGAUGGGGGGACCAUCCUCCAAGGCUAAAUACUCCUGACUGACCGAUAGUGAACCAGUACCGUGAGGGAAAGGCGAAAAGAACCCCGGCGAGGGGAGUGAAACAGAACCUGAAACCGUGUACGUACAAGCAGUGGGAGCCUUCGUAAGAGGGUGACUGCGUACCUUUUGUAUAAUGGGUCAGCGACUUAUAUUCUGUAGCAAGGUUAACCGUAUAGGGGAGCCGAAGGGAAACCGAGUCUUAAUUGGGCGUUAAGUUGCAGGGUAUAGACCCGAAACCCGGUGAUCUAGCCAUGGGCAGGUUGAAGGUUGGGUAACACUAACUGGAGGACCGAACCGACUAAUGUUGAAAAAUUAGCGGAUGACCUGUGGCUGGGGGUGAAAGGCCAAUCAAACCGGGAGAUAGCUGGUUCUCCCCGAAAGCUAUUUAGGUAGCGCCUCGUGAAUUCAUCUCCGGGGGUAGAGCACUGUUUCGGCUAGGGGGCCAUCCCGGCUUACCAACCCGAUGCAAACUGCGAAUACCGGAGAAUGUUAUCACGGGAGACACACGGCGGGUGCUAACGUCCGUCGUGAAGAGGGAAACAACCCAGACCGCCAGCUAAGGUCCCAAAGUCAUGGUUAAGUGGGAAACGAUGUGGGAAGGCCCAGACAGCCAGGAUGUUGGCUUAGAAGCAGCCAUCAUUUAAAGAAAGCGUAAUAGCUCACUGGUCGAGUCGGCCUGCGCGGAAGAUGUAACGGGGCUAAACCAUGCACCGAAGCUGCGGCAGCGACACUAUGUGUUGUUGGGUAGGGGAGCGUUCUGUAAGCCUGUGAAGGUGUGCUGUGAGGCAUGCUGGAGGUAUCAGAAGUGCGAAUGCUGACAUAAGUAACGAUAAAGCGGGUGAAAAGCCCGCUCGCCGGAAGACCAAGGGUUCCUGUCCAACGUUAAUCGGGGCAGGGUGAGUCGACCCCUAAGGCGAGGCCGAAAGGCGUAGUCGAUGGGAAACAGGUUAAUAUUCCUGUACUUGGUGUUACUGCGAAGGGGGGACGGAGAAGGCUAUGUCGGCCGGGCGACGGUUGUCCCGGUUUAAGCGUGUAGGCUGACUUUCCAGGCAAAUCCGGAAGGUUAAGGCUGAGGCGUGAUGACGAGGCACCACGGUGCUGAAGUGACAAAUGCCCUGCUUCCAGGAAAAGCCUCUAAGCAUCAGGUAACAUCAAAUCGUACCCCAAACCGACACAGGUGGUCAGGUAGAGAAUACCAAGGCGCUUGAGAGAACUCGGGUGAAGGAACUAGGCAAAAUGGUGCCGUAACUUCGGGAGAAGGCACGCUGACAUGUAGGUGAAGCCCCUGCGGGUGGAGCUGAAGUCAGUCGAAGAUACCAGCUGGCUGCAACUGUUUAUUAAAAACACAGCACUGUGCAAACACGAAAGUGGACGUAUACGGUGUGACGCCUGCCCGGUGCCGGAAGGUUAAUUGAUGGGGUUAUCGCAAGAGAAGCUCCUGAUCGAAGCCCCGGUAAACGGCGGCCGUAACUAUAACGGUCCUAAGGUAGCGAAAUUCCUUGUCGGGUAAGUUCCGACCUGCACGAAUGGCGUAAUGAUGGCCAGGCUGUCUCCACCCGAGACUCAGUGAAAUUGAACUCGCUGUGAAGAUGCAGUGUACCCGCGGCAAGACGGAAAGACCCCGUGAACCUUUACUACAGCUUGACACUGAACAUUGAGCCUUGAUGUGUAGGAUAGGUGGGAGGCUUUGAAGCGUGGACGCCAGUCUGCGUGGAGCCGACCUUGAAAUACCACCCUUUAAUGUUUGAUGUUCUAACCUGGCGCCGUGAUCCGGCGUGGGGACAGUGUCUGGUGGGUAGUUUGACUGGGGCGGUCUCCUCCCAAAGUGUAACGGAGGAGCACGAAGGUCAGCUAAUCCUGGUCGGACAUCAGGAGGUUAGUGCAAUGGCAUAAGCUGGCUUGACUGCGAGAGUGACGGCUCGAGCAGGUGCGAAAGCAGGUCAUAGUGAUCCGGUGGUUCUGUAUGGAAGGGCCAUCGCUCAACGGAUAAAAGGUACUCCGGGGAUAACAGGCUGAUACCGCCCAAGAGUUCAUAUCGACGGCGGUGUUUGGCACCUCGAUGUCGGCUCAUCACAUCCUGGGGCUGAAGUAGGUCCCAAGGGUAUGGCUGUUCGCCAUUUAAAGUGGUACGCGAGCUGGGUUUAGAACGUCGUGAGACAGUUCGGUCCCUAUCUGCCGUGGGCGCUGGAGAAUUGAGGGGGGCUGCUCCCAGUACGAGAGGACCGGAGUGGACGCAUCACUGGUGUUCGGGUUGUCAUGCCAAUGGCACUGCCCGGUAGCUAAAUGCGGAAGAGAUAAGUGCUGAAAGCAUCUAAGCACGAAACUUGCCCCGAGAUGAGUUCU
rnacentral:rRNA from 1 species